AGUGAACGCUGGCGGUAGGCCUAACACAUGCAAGUCGAACGGCAACACAGUAAGAGCUUGCUCUUACGGGUGGCGAGUGGCGGACGGGUGAGGAAUACAUCGGAAUCUACUUUUUCGUGGGGGAUAACGUAGGGAAACUUACGCUAAUACCGCAUACGACCUACGGGUGAAAGCAGGGGAUCUUCGGACCUUGCGCGAUUGAAUGAGCCGAUGUCGGAUUAGCUAGUUGGCGGGGUAAAGGCCCACCAAGGCGACGAUCCGUAGCUGGUCUGAGAGGAUGAUCAGCCACACUGGAACUGAGACACGGUCCAGACUCCUACGGGAGGCAGCAGUGGGGAAUAUUGGACAAUGGGCGCAAGCCUGAUCCAGCCAUACCGCGUGGGCGAAGAAGGCCUUCGGGUUGUAAAGCCCUUUUGUUGGGAAAGAAAAGCAGCAGGUUAAUACCCCGCUGUUCUGACGGUACCCAAAGAAUAAGCACCGGCUAACUUCGUG
rnacentral:rRNA from 1 species